rnacentral:misc_RNA from 1 species
GUGAAUUAAACAUGCUUGGUGUCUUCGCUUCGGCAAGGCCCUUGCUUAAAUCACAUCCUAACACCUGUGAACUGUAAGACGUAUGAUGAGGUCUUUGGCCGAGUCAUCGUCUGCCCAUUUUUAACAAACAAUUAAUGUAACAAACGUAGUCUUAUUAUAACCUAAUA